rnacentral:lncRNA from 1 species
ACACAUUAUUUGACAGCGUCUUCACUAUAAUGCUUUUAUUACGCGAAAUUAAUGACCCAUUUAAAGAGGUUUAAAUACAAACAAGUACUUAUCAAUCGUAUAAUUUAUUUCAAGGAUAAAGAAUGGUCUACAUACCAGAUGUCACAGUUUUCAAACAACAUGAUGCAGUUACCAGAUAUUUAAAAACAACUAUUCAGAAAGAAACAAAUCGGUGAACAAACAGUACCAGAUAAGUUUUAAAUGCUUCAAGGCAGUUUUAUAUUCCGAUGCUAUUUCCGCUUCGUCAUUGUUGGCAUCGUUAUUUUACAAACAAAAGAGGUUCAACGAAUGUUUAGAUAUUGUAAAUUACACUAUGUCAAAAUGUACUCCUGAUAAAAUCAUGCUAAAUGUUGGAAAGAACUUGGCAGAACAGACUUAUUUCCAGAGAGCCAAGAAGGCAGUCGGAUUGUUAUCAACUUCGAAACAUUUAGUCAUUUAUUCAGUGCCAUUUGUAAAACCAUUUUCGUUAUUGCCAUUAGAAUUGACCCCUUUAAUACUACUUACUGAUUAUUAUCUAUGCGUUAUUCCUUCUGUGGUGUAUUUGAAUAUGUUAUCGUUUUUAUGUUUACAUCACCUUAGAGAUCAUAGAGACAAACGUACUACACGUAGGGAUCUAGAACUAACAAUUCGUGAAAGAUAUUUUAUCGUACCGCACAUGCUUGAUGUCCAAAUUGCAAACGCUUGUUUCCGAAUUGCUAACAAUAUGAUGUAAUUUGAAAUCAUCAAAUUUCCGUAUGUAAAUUUUACAUCAUCAUUCGUUGUAUAACAAUUACAAGAUCCAGUAUUGUGUUCUUAAUGUCAAAAAAUGUACGGC